GCGCCCGAGGCUUGUCCAAGGGCAUUUCCGCUAGA
rnacentral:rRNA from 1 species